AUUGAACGCUGGCGGCAGGCCUAACACAUGCGAGUCGAGCGGAUGAAGGGAGCUUGCUCCUGGAUUCAGCGGCGGACGGGUGAGUAAUGCCUAGGAAUCUGCCUGGUAGUGGGGGAUAACGUCCGGAAACGGGCGCUAAUACCGCAUACGUCCUGAGGGAGAAAGUGGGGGAUCUUCGGACCUCACGCUAUCAGAUGAGCCUAGGUCGGAUUAGCUAGUUGGUGGGGUAAAGGCCUACCAAGGCGACGAUCCGUAACUGGUCUGAGAGGAUGAUCAGUCACACUGGAACUAAGACACGGUCCAGACUCCUACGGGAGGCAGCAGUGGGGAAUAUUGGACAAUGGGCGAAAGCCUGAUCCAGCCAUGCCGCGUGUGUGAAGAAGGUCUUCGGAUUGUAAAGCACUUUAAGUUGGGAGGAAGGGCAGUAAGUUAAUACCUUGCUGUUUUGACGUUACCAACAGAAUAAGCACCGGCUAACUUCGUG
rnacentral:rRNA from 1 species